UCGCUUGUUUCGGCAAGCGCGUACACUAAAUUGGAUACGAUACAGAGAAUAUUAGCAUGGCCCCUGCGUAAGG
ensembl:snRNA U6 U6 spliceosomal RNA